rnacentral:tRNA from 1 species
GUAUAUUAGUAUAUUAGUACAUUUGAUUUCCAAUUAAAUAGAGGAAAAAUAUUUUUUAUU